rnacentral:rRNA from 1 species
UACGAAGGGGGCUAGCGUUGCUCGGAAUCACUGGGCGUAAAGCGCACGUAGGCGGGUCCUUAAGUCAGGGGUGAAAUCCUGGAGCUCAACUCCAGAACUGCCCUUGAUACUGAGGAUCUCGAGUUCGGGAGAGGUGAGUGGAACUGCGAGUGUAGAGGUGAAAUUCGUAGAUAUUCGCAAGAACACCAGUGGCGAAGGCGGCUCACUGGCCCGGUACUGACGCUGAGGUGCGAAAGCGUGGGGAGCAAACAGGG